AUUGAACGCUGGCGGCAUGCCUUACACAUGCAAGUCGAACGGCAGCGGACCUUCGGGUGCCGGCGAGUGGCGAACGGGUGAGUAAUAUAUCGGAACGUACCUUUCAGUGGGGGAUAACGUAGCGAAAGUUACGCUAAUACCGCAUAUUCUGUGAGCAGGAAAGCAGGGGAUCGCAAGACCUUGCGCUGAUUGAGCGGCCGAUAUCAGAUUAGCUAGUUGGUGAGGUAAAGGCUCACCAAGGCGACGAUCUGUAGCGGGUCUGAGAGGAUGAUCCGCCACACUGGAACUGAGACACGGUCCAGACUCCUACGGGAGGCAGCAGUGGGGAAUUU
rnacentral:rRNA from 1 species